rnacentral:sRNA from 1 species
GUUUUGCACCUCCGUGAAGGAGAUCCGAGGACAGUUUGAGGAACAGCAGAAGCGGCUGGAGAAAAGAAAGGACAAAAAUGCCCAGAAGCUCCAUCUAAAUCUUGGACACCCCGUACAUUUCCAAGAAAUGGAGUCUCUACACUUAAGUGAAGAGGAAAGGCAGGAAGAGCUGGACAGCAUGAUUAGGAUGAACAAGGAGAAGCUGGAGGAAUGUACCAGAAGGAAUGGCCAGGUUUUCAUAACCAACUUGGCCACCUUCACCGAGAAGUUCCUACUGCAGUUGGAUGAGGUGGUCACCAUUGACGAUGUCCAGGUUGCAAGUAAGAGGCACCACCAGCCUUGUGUCAUGGCCCUGGGGGGCUGGUGAGGGCUAGGUUGGGCAGGGGUCUGCUUUCCCCAACUCUAUCAAAGUGAAAACAAGUGAUCCAUUGAGGGGACUGAUUAAUUUGUUUUCCUUAAAAAUAAUUUUUUGAUUAAAAAGCAAAUGCCAGAUGGCUCAACGUUUAUAUAUAAAAAAUGAAACCCUAUUAAGUAAACACUCCCAUACUCUUGGGGUUAGGGAUACCUUUUCUAAGUAUGACAGGAGA